GUUUCCUCAUGUGACCUGAUUAUAUCCAAACAAACAGGACCGGCUGGCCGACUGCUUUAUUAAUUAGCCUUAGACAAGACCUGAUAUGCUGAGUCCCUAUCCAUCAAUGUGAUUUGAGGGUAUUCCAACAUCUGGGGAUGGCUCCUGAGUGCUUUACUUUCCUGUACGAUGUUGUGGUUUCUCUUGGUUAGACUGUCCCUCGAAUCGCCAAUGCUUUUUUUAUUUCCUAUUUUAAUUUUUUCUAUUCUUAUUUAUUUCUGUUUUCUGUUUUUAUUUCUAUUCUGAUAGCCUAGAACUCCUUAUGUAGACCAGGUUGGCCGAGGAUUCAGAGAUCCACCUGCGUCUGCCUCCAGAAUUCACAUAUUAAAGACAUAUACUACCGUGCCUGGCCAAAGUUGAACCAAUUUUUACAGCUCUUUAUUUUCUGAGGCUGGGGAUAAAAUUCUAGGCCUUGCUCGUGGUAGGGAAGUGCUCACCUCUGAUCCAGUUUCAGUUCCUGUGUUAGAUCACCCUCUCCCCUACAAGCACGUGUGGGAGACUUCAUAUCAUGUGGGUGUUUUUUUUUCCUACAAAACAAGCGGAGUAAGCUUACCGUUCUCUAUUAUUUUUGCCAUAGUUAAUACACAAAUACUUUCUCCCUUAUCCCACCACAGACUAAAAGCCCCCUUCACAUUUCCUGCAAUCAACACUUAUCAGAUUCCUUUUUUUUUUGUAUGUGUGACUUUAAGAAGAUUUCUAAGUUAAAGACAUUAAAAUGCUUGUUCUUAUUUUGUUGUCUUGUAGCAGGCUCUCCCUGUAACUCACAAUCCAGCCUUCACUUUGGAAACCCUCCUGUUUAAGCCAACUGUUGGGGUUGCUGGAGUGCAGCAUUAUCCCCAGAGCACACUUAAACUUUCCAGCUGCUUGUUGGCAGAUAUGGUCUCCUCUCCAGUACGUCAUUUCCUUCUCUUUACGCCUUUCUCUCUAACCCACUGCUAUCUUUUAGGCGAGUUCAAUUCACAGAUUAUUUUAAACUGUUUAGUGCCCCCUUUUGACAGCACAGCAGUAAUCUAUCGGGCACAGUUGUUUGCCUUAUCUCCUGCCCCUUCCACUGCUAUCAAACACCCAGACUGCUGCAACUUUGGAAUUAAGACACCUGUUCCAAUCCUUGCACAACUUUGUCCAAAUAAAACUGGACUCUCUUACCAUUGUCUGCCUUCCACUGAGAUUUGGAUCUUUCAAUGGGGGCUCCUCCCUUCAUCUGUCCUAGAACCAUCACAGUGCAUACAUGCAGCUAAUUCGGGGGAUGAUUGAAGAUGGACCUAAUUUAAAAGCUGGCAGCUGUUGUAUAAGAUGUAAUUGUGUUUAUGAAGUUUCCUAAGUAUUCUCUUACUUCGUUGACAGCUCUGUGUGGCAGAUAGAAAGUUGAGUCAUACCUGUAUGCCCCAGUUCAUAUAUUAAAGAUCCAAUCCCAGUACCUGAGAAUAUGAUCCCCAUUUCUAGGAAGGAUUGUAGCUGAUCUAAUGAAGUGAAAAUGAGGCUGUGUGAGUGGACCCAAGGUCAAGUGAGUGGAUCCUAAUCCAGUAUGACUGGAGACUAUGAAGGGAAAAGAACACAGAAGAAAGGUCAUCUGAGGACUCAGCAAGAAGUCAGCCCCAGACUCAGAAGCUAGAAAGACUUGGAUCUUGACUUCAGGCUUCUAAGAACCAUGGGAGGGUCAGUGAGCAAGAACAGAUUGGAUUCGGGGAUUAAGGAGGUUUUGUAAAAUACUAACUGAAAGAGAGAGCAGAAACGCUGUUAAUACUAUUUAGUUGUACAACACCACAAAAAUACUUCACCUUUGAAUGGAAAGACCCAGAGGAUGGGACCACUGGUCAGCUGACAUGGACUAGAUGUUCCACUGGUUGGGCUGAAUCUGGCCACCUUGCUGCCUAAUCCCGACCUGGAGCCACCACAGCACGAGUGUCAAAUACUGGCAGAAGCCCAUGGGUGGAGGGAAGUCCUCAUCGAGGCUAACUUGUCUACAGACAGAAGCAGUUUUCUUCAUGAAUGUCAGAGAUGAGUGGGUGCUGCCAUGGUGGACAACACAAAUGUCAUCUGGGAUGGCUGAACCUCUACCCCCUCAGCACAUCGGUGCAGAUGCCUUUGGCACAGCCCACAUCCACGGGGCUAUACACCAAGAAAAAAAACACAGAAAAUCUUGGAUCUCUUGGAUGCCCUGAUGAAGUCAGCAACUGUGAGUAUUAUUCAUUGCCCAGGACAUCAGAAGGGAAGAGACUCAGUGGCCCGGGGCAAUAACCAGGCAGAUCAAGUGGCUCGAGAAGUGGCUAUGCAGGAGCCUAUCCUGGUUAUGGGCCUGCAAGGUACAGCCUCUGGGAACUGGGAUUAGACUAAGGGAUGAUCUCACUUAGAAUGUACAACAGAAGAGAAGGCCCAAAUUGCUUAGAGGAGGAAGGACAAUGGCACACUCGAGGGGAAAGCUAUACUGCCCAGAGAGCAAAAAAAAAAAAAAAAAAAGACCCACCUUGCCAAAUGCACAAAUGGACUCAUUUAGGGGAUAAAAAGCUUAUCCGAGCAGUAAUAGACCUUAGGUUUUUAGCCAGAGGGACAGUAGAACAGUGUAAGGUGUGUCAGCAAGUAAAUGUUUAUGCAGCCAAGAGCAAACAGGGCAAGAGACCUAGGGAGUUUAUUGGGAAGUUGAAUUAGCAGAAGUUAAGCCAGGAAAAAAUGGUUACAAAUACCUUCUAGUGUUUGUAGAUACUUUCUCUGGAUGGGUUGAGGCUUUCCCCACCAAGCAGGAAAUAGCUACUAUGGUAGCCAAGAAGAUAUUAGAAGAAAUCUUCCAGAGGUUUGGAGUGCCCAAGGACAACAGUCCUGCUUUUGUUUCUAAGGUAAGUCAGGGAUUGGCAAGGAUAUUGGGAACUAAUUGGAAGCUCCAUGCACACUGUUCCCAGAGCCCAGAGAGAAUGAACAGAACCCUAAAAUAGACCUUAAUUAAAUUGACCUUGGGGACCAGUGCUGACUAGGUGGUGCUCUUUCCCUUGGCCCUGUUCCGAGCCCGGAACACCCCCUACCAUUUUAAUCUAACCCCUUUUGAGAUCCUGCUUGGUACCCUAACUCCCUUGGUAUCCACUGGGCCCUACCUGGAGGUAUCCCAAAUCACUGAUAGAAACCUAUUCUUGAGGCUCCAAGCCUUUCAGUCAAUACAACAUGAGAUUUGGCCCAAACUGUCUGCCUUACAUGCUCCAGGAAUGCCAGAGACCCCUCACCAUUCCCAGACUGGUAACUGGGUCUACGUCCAGAGGCAUCGGGCACAGUCGCUGGAAUCCCGGUGGAAGGGACCCUCCCUGGUGGUCCUGUUAUCCACUCAGACAGUCCUUAUGGUAGACGGUAUUGCAGCCCUGGUGAAUACAUCCCACAUGAAAUCUGCAGAUGCCUCACUCCCCAGGGACUCCUGCUGCCUCCAUAUGAUAGUCUGUCAAACCUGGACUGUGGUUUCUACUAGAACUGGAGAUGAGGUCGCCUUGCUGACGGCCUCCAAACCACUCAACACCUGGUGGCUCCACCUCACUUUUGACCUGUGUCAGCUGGCGGCAGGACUUUACUCAUGGGACAUCCCCACUCAUGACGGGAGUGCUGGUGGAAGCAAAUUGCCCAUAUGGGAAAAAGAGUGCUCUGGGCCGGGAGGGGGGGGUGAUAAGAUGUGCAUUCCCUGCACAGAGGUGCCACUUGCAGUAGAUCCCCCACUUAGACUUAAUGGAAGAAACGGGACAGAAGUUCACCAAUGUGGGGGUCCACACCAGUUUUAUCGCACCGCCUGGGAAUGCGAGACUACAGGAGACACCUACUGGAACCCCUCCUCCUCUUGGGACUUGAUCACAGUAAAAAAAAUUUACACUGCUGAGGGUCCCUACCAGGCACGAAGGGCAUUGAGUUACUUUCUGUGCAAAUGUUACCUAUAACUCAAUAAUCAGAUUCACUCAGAAAGGCAAAGAAACAAUGAGAUGGCUAAAGAGAAAAGUUGGGGACUCAGGUUGUACAAAUUGUGAUAUGAUGGCCAAGAUGAGAGAAGGACUAGCUAAACGGAAGAGGGAGAACAGUCAGGGUUGGUUCAAAGCUUGGUUUAACCCUUGGCUGACCACCUUGUUAAGACGCCUACUUGUUCUGCUAUUGUUGACCUUUAGACCCUGCAUAUUGAACAAGUUUAUAGCCUUCAUAAAAGAGAAAAUAGGUGUAGUACAGAUGUUGGUCCUGCGCCAACAACAUGAGACCCUGAGGACAGGACCUAAAAAAAUGAGUUAGUCAUCAGAGACCCCCGAGCAUAGCUCCAAGAUUGGAGCUUGUAUAAGAAAAGGGGGUAAUGAGAGACCCUAGUUCUUACAGAAGCAUAAGAGCUAUUAGGAGGCUUGGCCUGGUAGAAAGUAGGUAAGUUAUGAGGACCCUAAGGGCUUUCGACAGUCUUACAUCCACCGCCUCAGGUCAAGAUUAGGCCAAGUACCAGCUUCCCAUCUCAGGUCAAGGCUAGGCCAAGUUCCAUUCUCCACCCACAGUUCUAGGGAGGAGCAGGGACAUUCUUAAAUCCAUAGAAUGUAUUGACUGAUACUCACCUGACCCUCUGGCCCCAGACAGAGCUCUAAGGCAUGCCAUAAAAGUUUAAACUGUAAACUUGCUGAUGUAACCUGUACCUCUGAAAGUAUAGAAACUUAUUACAGCCAUUCAGGAUCGCCUUCCAGUCACUCGCCAUGAGGGGCUGAUUGAAGGUCGACCCCGAUGCGCUGGAAAAUAAACCCCUUGCGUUUGCAUCGAA